AACUCAUUUAAGGCAGGGGGAUGUGUAUUAAUAACGAAGAUAAUCAAACAGCCCAGGCUGCGAUAGUCCCUGACCUGCCCCCAGGCGGGCCUUAAUGACUGUUUGUGAAGUGUGCCAGAGCCUCAGAUGAAAGGCACCCAGCUCUGGAGGCCAGAAGUCCAAAGCCAAGGUGUGUGUAUGGCAAUGCUCCCUGUGAAGGCUUUGCAGAAACUGAGGCUCCGAAGGGUUGAAUCAUUUGUCACGGCAAGUAAAAGACAGAUCCAAAUUUGAUCCUUCUUCUGCCUGUCUCCUGAGCUAACAGGCUCUGUCCAGGUAACUGACACCCUCUGCCUGGCUGGAGGAAGACAGGAGUUAAACGCAUAAUUAUGCAUUGCAUGAACUAAUUGUGAUUUUAGUACAGCUGCUGCGGACAAGUGUAGGAGCUUAUGGAUAAUUCAUUGAGGAAUUGAUUCAAAGAUUUAGCAUCACUUUGCAGAUCUCUUUAUCUUUUUGACCAAUGAAGAGAGGGGCAAUCCUAUCUCAACAAUAGGAUAUCAAUGUCCAUUGCCAUUUCAACAGAAGCCCAAAUGAAUGAAGGGAAAACCAUCACCAACAGCAUAUGUUUAUCCUCAUUGUUUCAUAGCUCACCAGUCACGGCAUUCUAUUUUUUAAAUAGACUUUCUGAAAAACAACAAUAUCCGCCUGCCAUCCACACCCUCCCUAACUCCUCCAAAGCAAAACUGCCAUAAAUAGGGCUUGGGAAGCAAUCACUUGCUGGUGCUGACUCAGAUAUGAACAGUAGA